rnacentral:tRNA from 1 species
CCUAGACUAAUAGGCCUUGAUCCUAUAAUAUUUUAGUUAACAGCUAAACACUUUAACCAGCAAGUCUUAGUCUA